AUACUUACCUGGCAGAGGAGAUAACGUUAUCAAGAAGGUGGUUUUUCAGGGUCAAGUUUAUCAUUUGCACUAUGCAUAUGAUGACCCCUGUAAUUUCCUCAAAUAUGGGAAACUCAUCUUCAUAGCUGCAUUAGUGGGGGCACUGUUGGAUA
rnacentral:snRNA from 1 species